GUUUUCCCGGGACAGGACUCGACUGCUGCCAACACUUAACGCUGCAGAGAAGUCUGAGGGAUAUGUCUCUAAAAGGGCUGUUCCUCACAGAUGUCUGAGGCCACCUUCAAUUAAACCCAAGCCUCUUCCUUUUCUACUGGAGCCCCUGGCUGAGAUUCUUCCUGGAACUUUUUGAAACAACACCACCGGCUGCAGUCAUUACCAGUGGGAGCUUGUUCGCAGGGCAUGCACAGAAACCUGUGGACCGUGGGUUAGGCUCUUGCAAGACUUCCCUGAAAGAUCGGACCUGAUCACCGACAACAUUUGUCUGCAUUUUCCCUUGACAAGAAAGUCCACUGCAUGGUGAAGCUGGUUCUCCAAGGCAGACUAGAUAUAGAAAGGUUCCUGGAAGAGACAGCUUAGGAGCUGCAACUUGAAAGAUACGUCAGAGAUCUCAUUGUGUUUGCCCUCUGUCCAUCCAUUCUCCCUUCUGCUGCUGCCAGCAUCUCAAUUUGCCUUGAAGAAUCGUCCUUCUGUUGGUCUCAGACAAUGUGGGUCUGGUGCCCAGCUCCUUCCUGUACACACCAGCCUGAGCAGUUGACAGCUGACUCAAGAUGACAGCUGUGCCAUCCCCGACCCUUGUGACCAGUUCAGGAGUGUGCAUUUUAAAUAGGUGGUGCUCCAGCUGCUGAAGUUACCGUGACGAACAGACAGGAGGAGUCUUUGGGAGUGAGGGGUGAGAUGCAGGCAAGAAGUGAAAAGACGAGGGGAUCACGCAAUGGUUUAAAGAAGUGUUGUGCUAUGGAGAGUAAGGCUGCAUCUCACUCUCCCUGGGUCCA